UUGACCUCGGAUCAGGUAGGAUUACCCGCUGAACUUAAGCAUAUCAAUAAGCGGAGGAAAAGAAACCAACAGGGAUUGCCUCAGUAACGGCGAGUGAAGCGGCAACAGCUCAGAUUUGGAAUCUGGUCCUUUGGGGCCCGAGUUGUAAUCUGGAGAGGAUGCUUCUGGCGCGGCGCCGUCCGAGUUCCCUGGAACGGGACGCCGGAGAGGGUGAGAGCCCCGUACGGUCGGACGCCUAGCCUGUGUGAAGCUCCUUCGACGAGUCGAGUAGUUUGGGAAUGCUGCUCAAAAUGGGAGGUAAAUUUCUUCUAAAGCUAAAUACCGGCCAGAGACCGAUAGCGCACAAGUAGAGUGAUCGAAAGAUGAAAAGCACUUUGAAAAGAGGGUCAAACAGUACGUGAAAUUGUUGAAAGGGAAGCGCCCGUGGCCAGACUUGUGCCCGGCAGACCAUCCGGCGCCCCCGCGCCGGUGCACUCUGCCGGGCGCAGGCCAGCAUCGGUUUUCCUAGGGGGAUAAAGGCGGCGGGAACGUGGCUCCCUCGGGAGCGUUAUAGCCCGCCGUGUCAUGCCUCUGGGGGGACCGAGGACCGCGCAUUUAUGCAAGGAU
rnacentral:rRNA from 3 species